rnacentral:lncRNA from 1 species
GCUUCCUUGUGUUUUAUCUUUUAGUAUUAGCCUUUGCUUCGUCUUCUCUGCUGUGCCUUUAUUUUAAUACCGAAUUUCAUGAGUCUAGAAUUAGGUUUCUCUAUUUGUUUCCUGUCCGUUAACGUGCUCUAAUUGCCUAAUGUUUCUCUACUUGUUUUCUAUUUGUUUGUUGUUCGUUAAUGUUUUCUGCUCCAAUGUCUGUUUGAUUGGUUUAUGAUAGAUUUUAUGGUAUUGUUAGUAUUAUUGGCCAGAAACGUCCAGUUAUCUUUUGUGAAGAUAAAGUUAGAAAUCUGUUGUCUUCAAGUUUGUAUAGACUUAUGUACCUCAGUAUUAGGUCUAUUGGAUUUGUUUUAAGAGCUAUUUUUGCCAUGUCUGUUACUCCUUAAUGAGCUUGUAGAUUAACUGAACAACACAACGGUAGGACAGUGAAUUCAGGGACUUAGGGGUAAUAUAGGAAGUCUAGCUUGAGGGAAUCUCACUGAUCAAUUAAGAAAUGAAAAGAGACAAGUUAGUGGAAAGGAUAGCUUUUAGAACACCUUUACUAAUUGAAAAUCAGAAACAGUAGGUUAAUAAUGAAAGGUUAAAAGGGUAUACAUAGUAAAGGAAUAUACAAGUUGGAAAGUAGAUAACAUGGGGGGUAAUGAUUAAUAAGCUAAAGGGGUACACAUGGGAGGGAAUAUACAAGCUGUAAAGAAAAAGUGUUUAAAAGGAAAAAGGAGCAACACUUGUUCUUUAAAUAGAGGAGGAGAACAUUCUGAUAAGGGGCUUAAGCUUGAACAUCUGAAACACAAUAAGAAUUCAUGGAGGGGAGAGAGCUUUUGAAAUAUCAGCUCUUGAAAACCACUAGAAUCAGUUCUUUUUAAUCAGUAUGAGAGAGCAUUUAUGAGGACUUAAGAGGAAUCAGUCUUUCUCAGUGUUAGAGAAAUAGAGAGAUAAGGCAUUCAGUUCCCUUUUGAAAGGCAAGACUAAUUCUUGAGAGUUUGGCCAGUCUUUGAGAGCUUAAGCACACAAACAUAGCCUUGAAAGCUUGGGAACACUUCUAAUAAAAAUACUAAGAGAGAGUUUAAGGGAUUACUAUUUGAUUGCCCGAGGUCAUUUUCAGAUAAUGUGCUUAAUUCAAAUCCCUUAGUUCAAUUCCUGGUGAUUAAGGUCCAGAGUUGUUUCUGGUCAAUUUUCAAGUGGCUUUUGGUGUCAGUCAAUACAUCUUGAGACCAGUUUGGGUGUCAUGUAGUUGUGGGGUGUUUCUGAGGAUCAUUUCUGAGGUCAUUUGAGCUUAUUUGAGCUGUUUGAGUUUGAGUAUUUUGGUUUUGUCUGGUUUCAAAUUCUCCUGGGUUUGCUGCAUUCGUUAUUGUACUGUUACUGAUUGCUGUCUGUUGUUGUUGCUCGAUAUUUGUUUCAGCUGAUCUCUCCCUUCUUUUUAUGUUCUAUUCCAGGUAUCUUCUGGAACCCUAGGGGACAUGUGAAUGUAAAUCUGCACUUUGAAUGUGACACAUUUGGGAUACAAGUUGUUUUCCAAGUUUAUUUCUACUAUUUCGUCCAUUUCAAAUAUUAUCAAGUAUGUAAUCCAAUAUUAUGUAUGUUUAGUCUAGCCUUUUCUUAUGUUGCUGAAUAUUGUAUAGUAAAUCUAUGGUUACUUGUUGGUUUGAUUCUGAGAGAGUGAGUAUGAGAUUUGGAUUCAAAUGAAUUGAAGGUAUCAUCAUAUAGGUUCAAGGUUACUGAAAUGGUUAUUUGAACAAUGUUAGCCUAAUGUCAAUUCUUAAACACUGAUGUAUUUUCAACAGUUGUAAAAAAAAGAGUUCAAAAAUGGCUUUGUAUUACACAUGGUUAAUUCCAAUAGUAAUAUUCACUAAUAGAAAAAUGAAU